CCCUCCCCAAAGAUUACAAGAAGCACGAGCAAUUAGUCCACUUUGACAAAACUAAAGAGCAUCCUCUUUUGGAAUUCAUGUAUGUUAUGGGCCCUUUAACAUAAUACAAUUUUGAUAAGAAAUAACACAAUAUAUGAAAAUGCAUAUACUUUUGAAAUAAUUUCUUCAAACACACCGUUGUGUGAUUUUACGCUAUUGCUUUCUUCCGAUCACUUUCACAAGCCAAUUUGGCGUUCCUUUAGAAAGUACAAGAUAUCCCAAAGAUAUUCUAAUUACCACCCCAGAUGCAUAC
rnacentral:lncRNA from 1 species